GAUAGCAGAAUUUAUCAGGUGUCUGGCAGUUAGCCAUUUUCUGAUCACGCUUAUUCCUCAUGGUACCCACUUGCGUUCCAUUGCUCAGGAAGACAAGAAGGAAUACUCCGGUUUUAACUUUAUUGAAGCUAUAUGUUAAAAACAUCCUAAUGAUUGAUUCUGUACUUAGUUUGAAAUGUUUCUUCGUCCUGUAAUGUAACUUUUUGACGUUUUUGUCCGAUGUAACGCUGACCAGAAUGAGCGCUUGGAUAUGUAUACCAAACACGCUAACAAAAGAAGGUAUUUGGACAUAAAUAACGGACAUUAUCAAACAAAACAAACAUUUAUUGUGGACCUGGGAUUCCUGGAGUGCUUUCUGAUGUAGAUCAUCAAAGCCUACUUCUUCGCUGAAAUGCCUGUGAGAUGGACCAAUCACGUGACCGGCAUUGGCUACAUCUGAAGGAGCCAUGUGAGUGAGAGGUUCUUCGGAGCGAGGCCUACUACAACUACCCUAUAAGCAGCCAAGACACUCCCCGCCACUCAAGAAUCUGAGCCUGCCUGGCAGGUUUGGUCCAACAAAACCAAAG
ensembl:lncRNA